rnacentral:lncRNA from 1 species
UAACAAUACUAAAGCGCACUGUCUUUGGACAGGACACAUUUCACAAGAAGCCAGGUUUCAUUUCAAAUAAACUGGCCUUGAAAAAAUCAAAACUAAAAAGGCUAUGGAGUGGAGGCCCCAUUCCUUCACUCAGGUACAUAGACCUGCCCCACCCAGGGCAGUCAUGGUUGAUUUUUAUAGUGGUGGUAGCUAUUCCUUCUGGCAAAUCACCAUGGAAACUCCAGCCAACAAGGUGCAGCUGAAAGAGGGAAGGUGGUAAGUAGGUUUCUGGUUUACUUAAGAAUCUAUGUUCACAUCCUUAAAUUACUCAACAAUUUUAGGUCUGGUAAGCUUAUGAAAAAAGAAAAAGAAAAAAUCUUCCAGAUUCUUACCAAGUUGGUGAGGAUGUAGGUAAGCUCUGAAGAGGCGUCACCUCAAUGCCUUCAGCUCCUUGGAUGGAUUUGUCUUCAAUUAGUAAUGACAUUAAUGGUGUCUCUCCUUGAAAUGUCUGGCAUGAUUUGGGGGUUUUGACAAGAGGUCAUACUCCUUUCAGGAAAAGAGACUCACCUUAUUCCAUGCUGUUUCCCAUUGUUAAUCCUGCACGUUUGUUUAGGAACAUUGUCUCUAUUUUCCAUGCAUAAAAACAACAACAAACCAUCCAAGAAAUCAAAAUUACAUGGUUUUUAAGGGCAACAGCUACCUACUUAACAUGUGUUCUGCACAUGGUGCGUCCUUCAUGAAUUAAGCAUGAGCCAGGCAGAUGUGUGUUUGUUUACACAGACUUGCUGCUGACUCAUUAAGUCAGAGCUGGGGACCUGCUUCCCCCCAUUCUUGCCCUGAAGCACUCUGCAUUAGGUGGCUUUAAUUGCUGGUGUUCAAGCCACUGGGAGGCCUUCCCUGUCACAGCACCUGGUACAAGAGACAAAGAUGCUACACUCCCCUUCAGUGGGGUCCCCAGUACAUCUGCCAGGACUUAUCAUUAUCUAAAACAUCCUUGUCACCACCGUGUAUCCCCUUUCAGCCUCUGUGUUCUGGGAAAGGACCCUUGUCAGUUUUCCUGGCACCUGCCAACAGCUGCACACCUGGCAUGUGAAUGGCACUGGAAUGUGCUGUGAUUGUUUCCCUCUUUAAUGAACCCACCUGAGGGGCAUUUCACUUUUUUCCAGUAGCCUGGUUCCCAGGCAUUCCCACUUACUCUGCUUGUGUGGAGAUCCAAAAACUCUGCCAUCACAAUGAACUAAUCCAUCUGCCAGACGUCUCAUAACCAAAUCUGCAGGACUCUCAAAGGAGAUUUUUGCACUGGUAAUUUAAGCUAAUGGUUUCUAAACAUCUUUAG